UUUGGAAUAGGAAGUGGAGAGGGCGAGAGAACAAGAGACGCGGGCAGUGCCUUUCUUGGCUCUUUUAUAAAGAAGCUUAUGCUCACUCUAACUCAAUGGCUGCUUGAAUAGUUUCUAAACUAGGUGGCCAUUCCAAGUUGCUUGCAUUGGAAGCUUCCAUAUAUUAACAGUCAUGAUUUGUGAAAACCCUUUGUUUCUUAAGUGGAUAAUUAAUUAGCAGUGACGGUGUUAUGCCGGUAUGUAGUGACGGGACCGAGAGGAAAUGGCGGUAUACGGCACGGUCAGGCCCAUCAGGUUACAAGGGACGGAAAGGUAGGAUAUGACGAUAUGAA
rnacentral:lncRNA from 1 species